rfam:Schistosoma rodhaini strain Burundi genome assembly, scaffold: SROB_scaffold0010158
CAGCUGACGAGUCCCAAAUAGGACGAAACGCGCGUCCUGGAU